rnacentral:rRNA from 1 species
UACAGAGGUCUCGAGCGUUAGGCGGAAUCACUGGGCUUAAAGCGUGUGUAGGCGGAUCGUUAAGUACCUUGUGAAAUCCCACGGCUCAACCGUGGAACUGCUUGGUAUACUGGCGGUCUUGUGCAACCUAGGGGCGAGCGGAACAGAUGGUGGAGCGGUGAAAUGCGCAGAUAUCAGGAAGAACACCCGUGGCUAAGGCGGCUCUCUAGUACGGUACUGACGCUGAGACGCGAAAGCGUGGGGAGCGAACAGG